AUUGAACGCUGGCGGCAGGCCUAACACAUGCAAGUCGAACGAGUGGCGGACGGGUGAGUAAUGCUUGGGAAUCUGCCUUAUGGAGGGGGAUAACUACUGGAAACUGUAGCUAAUACCGCAUACCAUCGGAUGAGCCCAGGUGGGAUUAGCUAGUAGGUGGGGUAAAGGCUCACCAAGCCGACGAUCCCUAGCUGGUCUGAGAGGAUGACCAGCCACACUGGGACUGAGACACGGCCCAGACUCCUACGGGAGGCAGCAGUGGGGAAUAUUGCGCAAUGGGGGCAACCCUGACGCAGCCAUGCCGCGUGAAUGAAGAAGGCCUUCGGGUUGUAAAGUUCUUUCGGUAGGGAGGCGUUACCCACAGAAGAAGCACCGGCUAACUCCGUGCCAGCAGCCGCGGUAAUAC
rnacentral:rRNA from 1 species